UUGACUCAACCAGGAAAAGAGCAGGCCUUGUGGCCUGGCCUGGACUCUUCUGUGCUUCAGGCCACAGCUCUGGGCCUCUCAAAGAUUCUCCCCACCUGGCUCACCCGAAGCUAGACCCCGACAAGCCCUCGACCUCCAAAAACGAAACAGAGGAAAGAACAGCAUCCACUGCCAGCUUCUCCAGUCUUUUGGCACAUGGACGGCGCUUCAAGAACGCUUCCACUGGAUCAGCGCUGCGGGCGCCUCCCGGCCUGGAGCUUUCAGGGAGGAAGGCCCGGCCAGGGCAGCCUGCGCAGGUGCGCUCCUCGAAAGCCUGGGGCAUGUACCGCUCCCACUGCUGAGCACAGCGGGGUGCCCACCAGGCCUGCCCUAGGCGCAAGGCCUCGAGUGGCACUGGGUGAGGCGGAGACUGUCGAGCACGUGCCUCAGCAGAUAGCCAACCACCAGGCCGACUCCAGACCUCACUCGCCUCGCUGCCCGGAUGGGGCCCCAGGAGGUGCUGAGCCGGCCUCACGUCUCCCUGAUUUUCCUAGGACUUCGGUGUGAACAGGCUCCCCUUGAGGCCAGAAAUAAAACUAAACCCCCAGAUGGACUCCCAAAGCUUAAAUGUCCUUUGAACCCCGCUGCUGCUUCCCCGCAUGACAGCCUCACUUUAGAGCCACUUUUCAUCUCUUCCAGCCCCUGUCUAUGCCCAGCACAGGGUCACCUCUGCAGAAACCUGGACCCAGACCUCAGGCCGGUCUCCACUUAGGUCUCAUUUGUGCCACAUCUCCUGGGCUGCUCCUCAGAUACAGUGCGAGUCCAGGUAAUGGAACCUCUACUCUCUCCUGUCUUUUGGUGUCGGAGAGCGUGAGUGAGGCUCCGGAGAGUGGGCGCCGGGCCCACGCGCACAUGCGCAGCAGAGGGAGGAGGGACAGCAGGGUUCUCCCCGGCCAGAGCGAGGAGGCCACAUCUCACACGCACCUCCAUCCUGCAGGGCGAGGGGCCGGCAGGCCUGCCCACCUGGGUCACAGCAGCAGGUGGCAGACGCCCGGAAGCCCUCCUCUGCGCCCGCUGGGACAGCCCUGGGCUGGAGGUGCCCUCAGCCACCCACCGAGGCCGCCAGAACCGCGGGGGAAUCACCAGGCCAAAGAAGUCAAUGAUUUCGGCAAACGGAAUUUCUUUGUCCUUUGUAAAAGUCAACACAUGAUCUGUUCCUGAUUGGGAUGUGAAAUAAAACUAAAAAUAACAGCA